rnacentral:rRNA from 1 species
AUUGAACGCUGGCGGCAGGCCUAACACAUGCAAGUCGAGCGGAGCGGCGGACGGGUGAGUAAUGCAUAGGAAUCUGCCUGGUAGUGGGGGAUAACGUCCGGAAACGGGAGCUAAUACCGCAUCCUCUCAGAUGAGCCUAGGUCGGAUUGGCUAGUUGUUGGGGGAAAGGCCUACCCGGGCGACGAGCCGUAACUGGUCUGAGAGGAUGAUCAGGCACACUGGAACUGAGACACGGUCCAGACUCCUACGGUAGGCAGCAGUGGGGAAUAUUGGACAAUGGGCGAAAGCCUGAUCCAGCCAUGCCGCGUGUGUGAAGAAGGUCUUCGGAUUGUAAAGUACUUUAAGUUGGGAGGCGUUACCAACAGAAUAAGCACCGGCUAACUUCGUGCCAGCAGCCGCGGUAAUUC